rnacentral:rRNA from 1 species
UACGUAGGGUGCAAGCGUUGUCCGGAAUUAUUGGGCGUAAAGAGCUCGUAGGCGGUUUGUUGCGUCGGCUGUGAAAUCCCGAGGCUCAACCUCGGGUCUGCAGUCGAUACGAGCAAACUAGAGUGUUGCAGGGGAGACUGGAAGUUCCUGGUGUAGCGGUGAAAUGACGUAGAUAUCUGGAGGAACACCGGUGGCGAAGGCGGCAUCCUGGACCGGCAUUGACGCUGAGGCGCGAAAGCCAGGGGAGCAAACGGG